rnacentral:rRNA from 1 species
GACGAACGCUGGCGGCGUGCUUAACACAUGCAAGUCGAGCGGAAAGGCCACUUCGGUGGUACUCGAGCGGCGAACGGGUGAGUAACACGUGAGUAAUCUGCCCCUGGCUUUGGGAUAGCCACCGGAAACGGUGAUUAAUACCGGAUACGACCACUUCUCGCAUGGGAUGGUGGUGGAAAGUUUUUCGGCCAGGGAUGUGCUCGCGGCCUAUCAGCUUGAUGGUGAGGUAAUGGCUCACCAUGGCUUCGACGGGUAGCCGGCCUGAGAGGGUGACCGGUCACACUGGGACUGAGACACGGCCCAGACUCCUACGGGAGGCAGCAGUGGGGAAUAUUGGACAAUGGGCGGAAGCCUGAUCCAGCAACGCCGCGUGAGGGAUGACGGCCUUCGGGUUGUAAACCUCUUUCAGUACCGACGAAGCGCAAGUGACGGUAGGUACAGAAGAAGCACCGGCCAACUACGUGCCAGCCGCCGCGGUAAAAC